rnacentral:rRNA from 1 species
UAAAAAAUUUUGGCGGUAUUUUAAGCUUAUUAGAGGAAUUUGCUCUGUGAUGGACACAACGCCUUAAUCUUACUUAAUUUAGUAAUUUAAAUCAGUUUGUAUACCACUAUAUUAAUUAUAUUGAAUAGUUAUAUUUAAAAUUUUUUUAAAAAAAUAUAUUAAGUCAAGGUGCAUCUAAUAAUUAUGAAUGAAGUGAAUUACAUUAAUUUUAAUGUAAUUUUUUAUAUGAAAAAAUUAAUUAGGAUUUAAUAGUAAAAUACUAAUAUUAUGAGUAUUUGAAUCAAGCUCUAAAAUAUGCACAUAUCGCCCGUCGCUCUCAGAAGUGAGAUAAGUCGUAACAAAGUAAAAAUACUGGAAAGUGUUUUU